rnacentral:ncRNA from 1 species
AACGUCCUGCAUCUCCCGAAGCCUUACGUUCCUACGUGGGGUCCUUUAGUAGGGAGUGUGGGACGUU